AGCGAACGCUGGCGGCAGGCCUAACACAUGCAAGUCGAACGAACCUUUCGGGGUUAGUGGCGGACGGGUGAGUAACACGUGGGAACGUGCCUUUAGGUUCGGAAUAACUCAGGGAAACUUGUGCUAAUACCGAAUGUGCCCUUCGGGGGAAAGAUUUAUCGCCUUUAGAGCGGCCCGCGUCUGAUUAGCUAGUUGGUUGAGGUAAUGGCUCACCAAGGCGACGAUCAGUAGCUGGUCUGAGAGGAUGAUCAGCCACAUUGGGACUGAGACACGGCCCAAACUCCUACGGGAGGCAGCAGUGGGGAAUCUUGCGCAAUGGGCGAAAGCCUGACGGAGCAACGCCGCGUGAGUGAAGAAGGUCUUCGGAUCGUAAAACUCUGUUAUUAGGGAAGAACAUAUGUGUAAGUAACUAUGCACGUCUUGACGGUACCUAAUCAGAAAGCCACGGCUAACUACGUG
rnacentral:rRNA from 1 species